UCUUAGUACGGCGAGUGAGCGGCAAAAGCUCAAAUUUGAAAUCUGGUACCUUCGGUGCCCGAGUUGUAAUUUGGAGAGGGCAACUUUGGGGCCGUUCCUUGUCUAUGUUCCUUGGAACAGGACGUCAUAGAGGGUGAGAAUCCCGUGUGGCGAGGAGUGCGGUUCUUUGUAAAGUGCCUUCGAAGAGUCGAGUUGUUUGGGAAUGCAGCUCUAAGUGGGUGGUAAAUUCCAUCUAAAGCUAAAUAUUGGCGAGAGACCGAUAGCGAACAAGUACAGUGAUGGAAAGAUGAAAAGAACUUUGAAAAGAGAGUGAAAAAGUACGUGAAAUUGUUGAAAGGGAAGGGCAUUUGAUCAGACAUGGUGUUUUGUGCCCUCUGCUCCUUGUGGGUAGGGGAAUCUCGCAUUUCACUGGGCCAGCAUCAGUUUUGGUGGCAGGAUAAAUCCAUAGGAAUGUAGCUUGCCUCGGUAAGUAUUAUAGCCUGUGGGAAUACUGCCAGCUGGGACUGAGGACUGCGACGUAAGUCAAGGAUGCUGGCAUAAUGGUUAUAUGCCGCCCGUCUUGAACCACGGACCA
rnacentral:rRNA from 1 species